rnacentral:lncRNA from 10 species
GUCCAUAGGGGCUGCAGACCCACAAAGGGAUCACCAUGGUACAAUGUGCAGAAAAAAGCAGAGGCAAGUAAGGCAAAGCUGAGGGGAGGCUACCAAGCAAGCCUGGGCUGGGGGAGGAAUCAAGGAGGACUUCUUGAAGGAGGUGAUGGCUGAAUCUUCAGAGAUGAGCAGGCAGUAGCAGGGUAGAGCUCUCCUCCAAGACACUAUGGCCAACUGAAGCCCAAAGCCAGCUGAGAGGGGAGUCUGGGAACUGCAGGGUGCAUCAUCAACCCAGUGAAAUGCAGACCAGAGCAGAGGAAGGCCAGGAUCUGCACAGCUCAUUCGCUUUUUAUGGACUUACUUUCCAAGGAAGAAGCCUCCUAAGGGCCUCCCUGCUUUGACUCUCAGCUCCCACUGUGUCUCUCAACAUACCAGCCAGAGUGAUCUUUUCACACCGCAAGUUGGGAUCUCCAUGCCGCAUCUUGCUCCCAGCCUCACCAUGGCACGCGUUCCACCUGGGAUGAACACUAAACUCAUUCCAGAAGCC